rnacentral:misc_RNA from 1 species
UGGAAGUAAAAGUCGUAACAAGGUUUCCGUAGGUGAACCUGCGGAAGGAUCAUUACAGUAUUCUUUUUGCCAGCGCUUAAUUGCGCGGCGAAAAAACCUUACACACAGUGUUUUUUGUUAUUACAAGAACUUUUGCUUUGGUCUGGACUAGAAAUAGUUUGGGCCAGAGGUUACUGAACUAAACUUCAAUAUUUAUAUUGAAUUGUUAUUUAUUUAAUUGUCAAUUUGUUGAUUAAAUUCAAAAAAUCUUCAAAACUUUCAACAACGGAUCUCUUGGUUCUCGCAUCGAUGAAGAACGCAGCGAAAUGCGAUAAGUAAUAUGAAUUGCAGAUUUUCGUGAAUCAUCGAAUCUUUGAACGCACAUUGCGCCCUCUGGUAUUCCAGAGGGCAUGCCUGUUUGAGCGUCAUUUCUCUCUCAAACCUUCGGGUUUGGUAUUGAGUGAUACUCUUAGUCGAACUAGGCGUUUGCUUGAAAUGUAUUGGCAUGAGUGGUACUGGAUAGUGCUAUAUGACUUUCAAUGUAUUAGGUUUAUCCAACUCGUUGAAUAGUUUAAUGGUAUAUUUCUCGGUAUUCUAGGCUCGGCCUUACAAUAUAACAAACAAGUUUGACCUCAAAUCAGGUAGGACUACCCGCUGAACUUAAGCAUAUCAAUAAGCGGAGGAA